rnacentral:rRNA from 1 species
AGUGAACGCUGGCGGUAGGCCUAACACAUGCAAGUCGAACGGCAGCACAGUAAGAGCUUGCUCUUACGGGUGGCGAGUGGCGGACGGGUGAGGCAUACAUCGGAAUCUACUUUUUCGUGGGGGAUAACGUAGGGAAACUUACGCUAAUACCGCAUACGACCUACGGGUGACAGCAGGGGAUCUUCGGACCUUGCGCGAUUGAAUGAGCCGAUGUCGGAUUAGCUAGUUGGCGGGGUAAAGGCCCACCAAGGCGACGAUCCGUAGCUGGUCUGAGAGGAUGAUCAGCCACACUGGAACUGAGACACGGUCCAGACUCCUACGGGAGGCAGCAGUGGGGAAUAUUGGACAAUGGGCGCAAGCCUGAUCCAGCCAUACCGCGUGAGUGAAGAAGGCCUUCGGGUUGUAAAGCCCUUUUGUUGGGAAAGAAAAGCAGCAGGUUAAUACCCCGCUGUUCUGACGGUACCCAAAGAAUAAGCACCGGCUAACUUCGUG